rnacentral:rRNA from 1 species
UACGUAGGAGACGAGCGUUGUCCGGAGUUACUGGGCGUAAAGGGUGCGCAGGCGGCCUGGCGCGUCGCGAGUGAAAUCUCCUGGCUCAACUGGGAGGGUGGUCGCGAGACGGCUGGGCUUGAGGCUCGGUGAGGGGCGUGGAAUUCCGGGUGGAGCGGUGAAAUGCGUAGAUAUCAAGUGGAACACCAGUGGCGAAGGCGAGUCUCUGGACAUUUCCUGACGCUGAGGCACGAAAGCCAGGGGAGCAAACGGG